rnacentral:rRNA from 1 species
AGUGAACGCUGGCGGUAGGCCUAACACAUGCAAGUCGAACGGCAGCACAGUAAGAGCUUGCUCUUACGGGUGGCGAGUGGCGGACGGGUGAGGAAUACAUCGGAAUCUACUUUUUCGUGGGGGAUAACGUAGGGAAACUUACGCUAAUACCGCAUACGACCUACGGGUGAAAGCCGGGGAUCUUCGGACCUUGCGCGAUUGAAUGAGCCGAUGUCGGAUUAGCUAGUUGGCGGGGUAAAGGCCCACCAAGGCGACGAUCCGUAGCUGGUCUGAGAGGAUGAUCAGCCACACUGGAACUGAGACACGGUCCAGACUCCUACGGGAGGCAGCAGUGGGGAAUAUUGGAUAAUGGGCGCAAGCCUGCUCCAGCCAUACCGCGUGGGUGAAGAAGGCCUUCGGGUUGUAAAGCCCUUUUGUUGGGAAAGAAAAGCAGCAGGUUAAUACCCCGCUGUUCUGACGGUACCCAAAGAAUAAGCACCGGCUAACUUCGUG